GUUAGGGUGGCUGAAGUAGGCGUUAAAUUGUAAAUUUAAAAAUAAUGGAUCAUUUCCUAACA
rnacentral:tRNA from 1 species